GACAGCAGCAGCCGCGGUAAUACAGAGGGUGCGAGCGUUAAUCGGAUUUACUGGGCGUAAAGCGUGCGUAGGCGGCUUUUUAAGUCGGAUGUGAAAUCCCUGAGCUUAACUUAGGAAUUGCAUUCGAUACUGGGAAGCUAGAGUAUGGGAGAGGAUGGUAGAAUUCCAGGUGUAGCGGUGAAAUGCGUAGAGAUCUGGAGGAAUACCGAUGGCGAAGGCAGCCAUCUGGCCUAAUACUGACGCUGAGGUACGAAAGCAUGGGGAGCAAACAGGAUUAGAUACCCCUGUAGUCCCUGUCUCCUUAUA
rnacentral:rRNA from 1 species